rnacentral:sRNA from 1 species
GCUUAUCUUAAGCCUAGUCUGGGAGCGGGGAAACCAAUUUGGGGCGCAUUGCUACGGUUUUGGUAGUAAGGGACAUCUCUCAGUCCUAGCCCGUCAGCUAACCUCGUCGGCAUUGAGAGGAGAUUGA